GUUGGGAAUCUUGCACAAUGGGGGAAACCCUGAUGCAGCGACGCCGCGUGGAGGAUGACGGAUCUAGGUCUGUAAACUCCUUUUUCAGGGAAAGACUUAGGACGGUACCCUGAGAAUAAGCUCCGGCUAACUACGUGCCAGCAGCCGCGGUAAGACGUAGGGAGCAAGCGUUGUCCGGAUUUACUGGGCGUAAAGGGCGCGUAGGCGGUCUGUUAAGUGAGUACUAAAAUCUCCAGGGCUCAACCCGGAAACUGGUUCUCAUACUGACAGACUGGAGGAAGGCAGAGGUAACUGGAAUUCCUGGUGUAGCGGUGAAAUGCGUUGAUAUCAGGAGGAACUCCAAUGGCGAAGGCAGGUUACUGGGCCUUAUCUGACGCUGAGGCGCGAAAGCGUGGGUAGCAAACAGGAUUAGAAACCCUGGUAGUCC
rnacentral:rRNA from 1 species